GCCUUGCUAGCUCAAUCGGUAGAGCGUGAGACUCUNUAAUCUCAAGGUUGCGGGUUCGACCCCCGCGUGAGGCU
rnacentral:tRNA from 1 species